rnacentral:rRNA from 1 species
GAACGCUGGCGGCGUGCCUAAUACAUGCAAGUCGAGCGAACGGACGAGAAGCUUGCUUCUCUGAUGUUAGCGGCGGACGGGUGAGUAACACGUGGAUAACCUACCUAUAAGACUGGGAUAACUUCGGGAAACCGGAGCUAAUACCGGAUAAUAUUUUGAACCGCAUGGUUCAAAAGUGAAAGACGGUCUUGCUGUCACUUAUAGAUGGAUCCGCGCUGCAUUAGCUAGUUGGUAAGGUAACGGCUUACCAAGGCAACGAUGCAUAGCCGACCUGAGAGGGUGAUCGGCCACACUGGAACUGAGACACGGUCCAGACUCCUACGGGAGGCAGCAGUAGGGAAUCUUCCGCAAUGGGCGAAAGCCUGACGGAGCAACGCCGCGUGAGUGAUGAAGGUCUUCGGAUCGUAAAACUCUGUUAUUAGGGAAGAACAUAUGUGUAAGUAACUGUGCACAUCUUGACGGUACCUAAUCAGAAAGCCACGGCUAACUACGUG